GGUCUGUUAGUCUAGUGGUUAGGACGGCUGGUUUUGAUCCAGUAAGCACCGGUUCGAACCCGGUACGGACCU
rnacentral:tRNA from 3 species